AUGAAUUGGGCUUGGAAAAUACUCGAUCCAGCAACUCCUUUGUUCUACAUUUUGGUUCAGCCUUACACACUUCACCGGAGAAUUGCCACCGCACCUAAAAAACAAGAGUUUCAAUUGUAUAAAGAAAUCCAUGUAUGUGUGACAGAACCUUUACACGAGGAGGGCAACAGCGUCGACAUGGCGAUCGAGUCACUCCUGAAUGCGGAGAAGCAGUGUUGCCUGGCUGGCGACGUGGCCAGCACUAGGAAGGACAUCGUCGAGCUCUCCUUCAAGGAUGGCGCCUGGAAGACGCUUAACUACCAGAUCGUUCUCCUCUCUAAGAGGAGGAGGGGCCAGCUCAAGUAG
rnacentral:rRNA from 1 species